GAUGAACGCUGGCGGCAUGCCUAAGACAUGCAAGUCGAACGAGACGACCUUUGGAAGACUGAGUGCUUGCACAAAGUUAGAAGAAGAUCAUCGUCUAGUGGCAGACGGGUGAGUAACACGUGGGUAACCUACCUUCAAGCUGGGGAUAACAGUUGGAAACGACUGCUAAUACCGAAUAAGAUAUAGCAAUAUAUUGAAAGAAGCCUUUAAAGCUUCACUUAAAGAUGGGCCUGCGGCGUAUUAACUAGUUGGUGAGGUAAUGGCUCACCAAGGUAACGAUGCGUAGCCGAACUGAGAGGUUGAACGGCACACUGGGACUGAGACACGGCCCAGACUCCUAGGGAGACAGCAGUAGGAAUAUUCGUCAAUGGGGGAAA
rnacentral:rRNA from 1 species